rnacentral:lncRNA from 1 species
CAAAUAGUCAAAUUCUUGGCUGGUUAGUAGUAAUGAGGGUUAAUCAAUACAAAUAAAAAGCAAGUUGUUUUCUUCCUCUUUUGCUUCAGUUACCAUUCUAUUUCUCUCAUGAGCUACAUAAAUACCAAUGAGUUUAAGGCUACACCAAAUCAUAAUUAGAAUAGAAACAUAUCAAAAUGUUUAUGUUUUAUAUAUGCAUCUAUAACUAAUGACUGCCUUCUUAUGAUAAUUUCCAAGUCUGGAAAAAAAAAUGUGAUCUUAAUGUCUACCUACAUUAUCGAAAAAAUUUCUUGCUUGUCCCUUUUUCAAGCUUUUCAGGGGCAUUUUUGGGGCUGCUUCAUCCUUUUAUUACUUGGAAAUGGCUGGAAUAUCCAAGAACUUGAGCAAUAGUUCAAACACUUCAGAAAAUUCUAGUAAUUUUGUUGCAAAUGAACCACCAGUGAGGACUCCGGUAUCUAAGGGAAGACGCGGUCGUCCUUCAAAGAAGAGGGAAAAUGAAAAAACAAUAUUGUCAUGGUUAAUAGACUGCAAAAGAGUUCAAGAAAAUGCACUUGUUUGUUAUUUGGACAACAAUGCUAAAAUACCCUUAAAGGAAGGGAAAAUUACCAGGGCUGGCAUAUUAUGUGUUUGUUGCAUCCAGGUUUUGACAGCAGAGCAUUUCCAGGCUCAUGCCGGUUGGGAAAUUGGAAAGCCUUUUGAGAACAUUUUCAUCAUGGAGACGCGAAGUUCGCUCCUCUCCUGCAUGAAUGAAGCCUGGAAUCAACCUAGAGAAUCGGCACGCCACAAAUUCAACACAAUUGAGGGUGAAGGUGGUUCGAGUGACAUUUAUGAUGACGCGUGUAUGAUCUGUGCAGACGGGGGAGAAUUGAUGUGCUGUGACAAAUGCAAUUCAACUUACCAUCACCACUGUAUGGAUAUGGAGGUCAGUCUAUUUAUUUGCUUAAUUUUUAAGCAAUUACUUAAUUUGGUCCAAUUCGAUUAGAUUAUUACCAUAAAAAAUUUGUAAAUUCUUAAAUUUUGGUUUUUACAGGAGAUCCCUGAAAAUUCUUGGCUUUGCCCUUAUUGCGUUUGCAAAUUGUGUGGGGAUCCUGCUUGUGAGAACGAUUAUUUGCUCACGUGUUCUCAAUGCGAGAAGAGCUGUAUGUAGAUUGAUUUUCUAAUUCUUGAGUACUUGGUUUGGAAUUGAAGCAGGAAUGCACAAUUUUAUAGAAAAGAAUGCUAAUGCUGAAAUAAGUGUUAAAUGUUUUUGUUAUGUAGAUCAUUGGGAAUGCUAUCAGGAGAGAGAACCUAUACUCAUUGAUGUUAAUAGUCCUCCUUGUGCCCCCUUUUGUGAGCAAAGCUGCAAAGAGGUAUUUCUUCUAAGUUCUAACUUUUUAAGCUCUCCCAAUUCAGAGUCGUACUCUUUUAGUCCUGCAUUCUAGUCCUACAAACACAAUGACGCAUUAUAAAGAGUUGUAGUUUAAGGUCAUUUGUGCUCAGAAUAAAAUAAAAUAAGUUGUACCCAAUGCACAUUCUUUUUACUUUUAAGAAGGGGGAAUUUUUUGAAAUGACUAAACUGAUUGUUGUUUGUUAAGGUUUGUGAGAAACUAGAGAUGAUGGUUGGGGUGAAUAAUAAGCUAGAUGACAGAUACACUUGGACUUUACUAAAGCGAAUGGAUGAAGAGUACUCUGAUGAUGGAGUACAUGAUUUCUAUAAAAGAAUUGAAUGUCACUCAAAGCUAGCAAUAGCAUGGAGUGUUAUGAAGGACAGCUUCGAACCCAUCACUGAUCGACACACUAAGAUUGAUAUAAUACAGAGUAUAGUAUAUAAUUGCGGGUGAGUGCUAUAUCUAUUCUACUAUAAUUGAAAUAAAUCCAUUGAAAUAAUCUUUCUUCUAGCAUGGUAAUUUAAAAAAAGCAAGAAAUUUGCAGGUCAAACUAUACUCGGAUCAAUUUUAGAGGCUUUUACACUGCAGUAUUGGAAAAGGAUGGAGAAAUUAUCUCUGCAGCAUCCCUAAGGUAUAUUAAUCUAAUUUCACAUAUGUGUACAUAAAAAUAUUGUGUUUGUUGUAGCAAGUGUACCUGCAUAUUUGUCUUAUGCUGUUCUCUGAAUGCCCUUAAGAAUUCAUGGAAUGAAGCUGGCGGAGAUGCCAUUUAUUGCGACAAGGGAAAUCCAUAGGGGCAAGGGAAUGUGCCGAAAAUUGAUGUGUGCGAUUGAGUCGGUAAGUUCUGCUUGAAUCUUUGAAAGGAGUUUAAAUGAAUGCAACUCACACCUUAAUUUGUGGAAAGAGAUAGUAAGUAUGAAAUUAUGAAACUAUAAAACAUAUAUAAACUCUUGUCUUCCAAUGUCCUAAAAAGAGAAACAUACAGACUUUUCAACUUGUUCCAAAAUUUUGCAAAAUAUUGAAUUGACAAGAUAAAAGCAAGAGAUUAUGUUUUAUUCAAGGGAAUUAUGAGCAUCAGCAUUGAACUUGAAGUGCAUAUAAAAAGGUGGAAUUAUUUCAUUUUCUUGGUAAUGUAACUACUAUAAGCAUUCUUUUCCCCCCUAAAAUAAUCACCUACUAUCAUUGACUUGUGUUCCUCGUCUGCUAGACCUCUUUAUCUAUUCUAGCGGAACAAGUUCUGAUGAUGAGUGAUUUUUCAGGCUCUUAUCUUCCUCAAAGUUGAAUAUCUGAUCAUUCCAUCUGUGCGUCAGAAAGAGAAAAACUGGAAUCAGGGUUAUAAAUUUUGUCGCCUCAAGGCUACGGUAAAGAAAGAAAUUAUGUCCCACAACACCUUAAUGUUUCACGAUUCGGUGAGACUUCAAAAGACCUUGCAGCCACCUGAUCUCAGUCGAGGUUUUUUUUUCUCUCUCUCUCUCUCUGUGUAUAUAUAUAUAUAUAGACNNNNNNNNNNNNNNNNNNNNNNNNNNNNNNNNNNNNNNNNNNNNNNNNNNNNNNNNNNNNNNNNNNNNNNNNNNNNNNNNNNNNNNNNNNNNNNNNNNNNNNNNNNNNNNNNNNNNNNNNNNNNNNNNNNNNNNNNNNNNNNNNUGUGUGUUUGACAAGAUAUUUUCCGUCUGCAGCUAUGGAGGCAAGAGAGGUUGGGAACAACGUACCAGAAUUUGACUUGAACCUAGAACCCUAAAACGAUAGACAACAAUGAUAUGACAUCAAGCAAAAAGACUAGGUGCAACGAACUUGAUUCCAUGUGAUCAAGAGGCUUGUUUUCUGAAUCUUGGGUCUCUUAAACCAGGUAUUGUUGUUACAUGCAGGCAGAGCAGUUCAGAGUUCAGAUUUAGUGUUGUUGAUUAUGAUUAGCUAGGCCAUUUAUGAUAGGUUGCUUUAGCUUCAGUAUUUUUCUCAUAUUUGAUUUCUAGAUGCAAUUUAGAGGAAAAAGGAUGCAUGUAUGCUACUGAAAGGUUACUUGGUUUUGUUGUACUUAAUAUCUAUGAUUUUGUGUAACAAAAUCACCAGAGAUUUCUUCAUUUUGUAAUCUUAUAUGAAUUAUUUUGUCAUAUAUUUGUUAUGGAGUUUAAUCUCCGAUCGCUUAGUUUGUAUCAAAUUCAUUAGUCCUAAAGGCUGCCUACGUACAUAUUAUCGACACCUAGCUUAACAAUGCAUCUUUGGGAUCUAUAUGGAUCAUUAGUUUUUCAAAUUUUUAUUUAUUUAUUUAUUUAUUGUAAUAGAGACCGAACAUAUUGUUAGAAUAAAAAAUCCAGAUAAUUAGGGCUUGUUCUAUUCAAUCAGCUAGUCGUCACACAAUAAUGACACUAGAAUCCACAGGAUUCUUUGAAUAGACCUUAUCUAUCACCAAGAUGACAACAAUCUCUCUGUGAAUACAACACGUUGAGCCACUUUAUUCACUAGACCAGAAAUCACAUGUUAAUUAAGAGCAUCAGGAGGCACUUGCACGAGUUUUUUUGAUCUUCCACAGAGCAGAAGCUGAAGGUUUCUAGAUCUGCAAACCUGCCACUAGGUAAUUGUGCCACUAAACCUGAUUACGGAGAUAAAUUGCCCUGGCAGAGAUCAUACAGGUACUUCAAUCCCCCUAGCAGCCAGUGGGUUUCCACAGAAAGGUGCUUGGCGAUCAAUAUCAACCUAUAUUAAGAACUUCUUAUAAAAUUUUGUUUAUCAACUCUAAGAAUAAUUAUAUGAUUUAUGACUAUAUAUUUGUCACAACAAACUAUGGACAGAAAUCAACGAAGAAAAAUAAAUGACAAGAACACAAGAUUUAUGUAAAAACCCAAUCGGAAAAAAACCACGGGCGGGAGGCAGAGGAUAUUCAUGUGGAGAAUACAAACUGUGAAGAGAUAACACCCCAAAACCCCCAAUUGACCCAACUGUUUGCCUCACUAACACCUUUUUGUAAGUUUUUGGGGUAAGGAAUGCUAAGGAUUUUUAAGUAUGGAAAUGAUAGGAUAGGAAAGGACAGGAAAUUUACUUUCCUUAGUUCUGUUUGUAAGUUUACUAUGAUAGGGUUACCAAAUAUUGUAAUCACCGUCGUUGAUUAGCACGAAGCAAGAAAGUGUCAUUAUGCAUAGGAUAUGGAUGUCCAGAUUUAUUUUCCUAUGUUAAAUGUUAAGGGUGAUUUAGAAAUACAAAGAUAUUUAUUAAGCUCAAUUUCCAAUCCUUAGCUUUCCUAUGGUUUUACCUAGGAAAGUUUCCAAGAAAAAUUGGAUCUAAUUUUCUUUACCUUUCAAGAGCUUUCUUACUUAAAAAAAAAUAAUUACGAACAUGGGAUUUAUAAAGAAAAUUGUAAUUUUCUUUAGGUUUAAAGGUGGCUAAUUUUUAUUUUUUUUGAAUUAGAAUGAUCUGAAACCUUAUUGGCAUCACUCCUCCACUUCAACCACUAAGCCUCACUUUUCUUCUCCUUUAGGUCACUGAAAAAUAUUAUGCAGGUAUUAGUAAUGUCAGAUUCAAGACUAGAAUUCAAGAUGCGCAUAAAAAUAUUAGCUUUUCCUUCUUUAAGGACUUGAGUUCAUUUUCUUUUUAUCUACAUUUGUUUCAUUGAUGCAAAGAUUGACUACAUAAAUAAAUUGCACAUUAAGAAUGAAAGUUAUAGAAAUGUUAACUCACGGAUAAGGCCUCCCUAAUGACACCAGUAUCCAUUUUGUCCACUCCCGGAAAAGUGUUUGAGAUUGGAAAGUCAUUUGGACCCUCAUACAUUGACAAUGUUAUUACAAGAUGAGGUUGGUGGCCUUCCGAUUCUCAAGGAUGAGAAUCAUGGGUUGACAUUACUCCAGUUCCAAAUUCAUUUGUCAUCAAAAUUGGUGACACCGUAGAAGUACUAUCACUCUCACUCUCACUAUCUGAUCUCCCACUAUCACUCCCACUUAAUUACACUUUAGGGCCAUAAUAACAUCCUUACUAUCGCAGUGUGUCUAUCUCGCUUUUAUCAUGUGACAAGUACAUAUAAACUCUUGAAUCGUGUACAUUGUAAUAUUUCUUCAAUUUUUCCAAUUGAUUAAAUAAAACUAGUAUCAAGUACUCUCUCCAUUCCACUAGAUAGGUUUCUAAAACUACGACUUUCAAGGAACAAUUUAUUUUUCUAAACAUAUCCCCAACAUUAGAUAGAAAUGCAGUAUUGGUGGCAUUAUAAUACUCAAUACAUAGAAUAUUCAUAUCACUUAGUCUAAAAUUAAUGACUAUCUAUAAUGUAGAGCAUAAAAAAUGAAAAAGUAAUUGGGAGGGAGUAAUAGUGUAGGUGGUUCCUAAAAAUAUUAGCAAUAAUUUAACAGUUCAAAUCUCAUGCAUUUAACACUCCCUCCCUACCAAAAUAUAGGAUUAUUUAUUUUUUAAGUCAAAUUGAGAUAUUUUUAAAUCAAAAUUAAUAAAAUUCAUUUAAUUUUCUACAUUACAACUAUGAAAAUUAUGAACUACUUAAAAAGUACAACUAAACAACAUCAAAAUUUUAAGUUGAGAAUAUCUUAUAUUGACUUUUGAAAGUAAACAGAAGGAAUAUUUCUAUUUUGGGUGCAAAAACGGAGGGGAUAUAAUAUACAGAUUUAACACCAAUUCUACAUAUUCCUAAAUUUAUUAACAGUUCCUUCUAUUGCAUACAUAUUAUUAUAUCAUCAAGCCCUAGAUCUUUCAAUACAUAUACGUAUAUACAUAUGUUUUACUUAUAUACUUACAGAAAAUAACAUAUGAAUGUAUAAGAGUUGUAAUUGAGAGAUGAAAAUUUACCUUUGCGCACAAGCGGUAGGCUGAGGAGUGGUGUAUAAAGAUUAGAGACGACUAUUUGUAGCAAAUUUCAUGAGCUAUGAUCGAUUUCCCACAACAGCUGAUAAUGGAUAAGGACACCAAGCCUAGAGGAAAGCACCUUCCCGUUUUUUUAUGAGAGAUUUAGUAGAGAGAUGAUGUCUUAUUGUGAGUUUUUUUAUGAGAGAAAAUUA